AUGCUGCAGUUACUGAACUCUGAACACGUACAGGACUGGGAACUGGAUCCAGACGUAGAAAUCCCAAAUUCCCCCUUUUCUUCUCGCGACACCAAAAUCGCCGCCGCUCGCUCCGGCCGUCGACCGGACCGCGCCUCCACGCCCCCGUCCCCUCGGGACUUCGCCGACGGCGCCAAAUACAGAACGUGUUCUCCGCAACCUCAAACCAUGCCGUGCCCCCUCCCAAGUCCUAGCCCGGCUGCAGCUGUGCGGAACACCGCCGAGCCUCCUCGCCGGCCUUGCCAGUGUCACGGACGGCCGCGGAGGUUGCAGAGCCCGCCGUGGGCGCCUCAUCGUUCACAGCGGCACGGCAACGCUGAGAAAUUUCAUCCCAACUAAACAGGAUGGCAUCAGCUUGAACCCGAUGUAAUAAACGGUCUAGCAACAAGGGAAAAUAACACCACAGCAAUCGAUAUUGCCUUUGCUCAAUGCAUGCUUGGGUACGAGGAAGUCUGAACCUACUGCAAACCCACUAGUUUACAAACGCACAGAGGAUUAUCAUGGAUUUUUUCAAAAUGCACAGUAUUAUCAUGGAUAUUUUUCUUGUUUUCCCUCCGCUGGUGGGGCAUGUGUUUUUCUGAAGCAAAGCGUCCAUUUCUUUUGCCUUGUCACUUGUAUCGAUAUGCACAAUUAAUUUUCUGAAUGCAUUGAGAUUUGAGAGAGAUGUGUAACUACAGUUUGUUUUACUAGCAAUUCUAAAAGCAUAUAGUUGUGUCCUAACAACAGUUUUUGGGACCCAAUCUAAGUGAUAACCACAACAUCCAGUUUUUUCCAGGUCAAUGGGAUUUUUCUAGGCUAGAGGGAGAAAAGUUUUCAGGUACCUGUGAAGUGCUUUCUUCUUGCUUGGUGACAGAUACCGGAGGUGUUGAUCAGAUCCUUCAGUUCUGGGUAGAUGUUGGGGGGAGGACCUGUUCCUUGGAGUUGUUCCUGGAUGUAAUCCUGUCGUGAAGACCUGUUUAUGGAGCUCUGAAGGCGGCUUGAGACGGUAAGAAGAAUCCCGAGCAAGAUCGGGUGGGGAUACUGCACAAGGUUUGUGUUCAAUCACAUUACGAUAUGAACUCUUUGUCUUUACUAAAGAGAAUGAUAUACUUUUCUCUACUACUCCCUCGGUUCCAUAUUAAUUGGUGCUGAUUUAGUACAAGGAACGGAGAGAGUACUUAAUAUAGGAUGGAGGGAGUAGUAGAUAGCAAUAUACUCCUGAUAAUGAUACAGACCUGGACUUGGCACGUGGAGCGCAUAAGAGGCGGCAACUUCAAUAUCAGAAGGCCCAGUGGACUCGUUCACGCAGCUGGCGCCACUCAUAAAUCGCUCAUGGUGACGCCGGAGCCUGGAGGAGAAGAGAGCAAAGCUGCAAAUGCAUAGUUUCAUUUGUGUGAUGAGCACUGACUUAUGUGCUACUCCAGCGUUGUUAGCGCAGGACAGAUCAAUGAAUGAAUUGGAGGCAAAUGUAGGUAGCAUUGACUCAUAUCUUUCUGGCUGUCUUGUCUCAUCCUUAAUGGAGCUGUCCUCUCGUGAGAAGGAAAUGACUUGUGCAAGUCCAUCGAUACACAGUCCUUUGUGUUCCCACUACUGAUAUCUGGCUUGACCCAGGAUUUGAAGGGCUUAAUUUUAACUGCUGAAAAGAAUAAUUGAUAAAUGCCCAAAAUGCAUCAUGUAUAUUUUGAUAUGAUUGUAUAUUCAGUAGUGCUUGUACACACCCAAAGACAUAGCAGAAUUUAAAUUUUGUCAUAAAUCACGAUUAAUUUCAUGUUUU